rnacentral:lncRNA from 1 species
UUUUUAAAAUAGUUUCAGAAUUAGGGAGAGAAGUCCUUUUUCCACUUCUAUCCAAGAAUCCUCAUUUUCAAGGGGUUCCACGCCAUUCUUGCCUAACACAGGCAAUCUGGCCUGGGGUUUAGUUGAGAAAAAAAAACAGCAUCACAGGCAUGAGAGUGACCAAGCAUCCUGAGCCAAGUCCUGGAUGAGCAUCAUAUAUGACUCGCCUCGGCCCCAAUCAGAAAACUUCCAUUCUACCUACCAUGAUGAUCCUGUCCAUCUGUUUCAUGGAGGGCUGCUGCUGGAAGCUGUCUUUGGACUUCCAGGGGAAGCUGAGGAAGCAGAGAUUGAACUGGAAGAAGAUUAUAAACCCCAAAGUCCACCUUGAGUGAUGCACCUCCUCCAGAGAAGCAAUACCCACUAAAGCACAACUCCACACACAGCGCCACCAACGAACGGGACCAAGUGUUCAAAAUAUCUGAGCUUACGGGAACAGUUUUCAUCAAAACCAUCAUCCCUGAGAAGUUUCUGAACACAGAUUGGACAUACUCCAAACACAGAGGACAAAGACCCAGAGUGCACCAAUAGACUGAGCAGGAAGCCCUGCAGGGAUACUAGAUCCCCAGUGUGCCAGGGCAUUCCUGUAGGUGUACCAACCACAUUCCGUUUCCUCCUCACUUCCUGUCAUCCUUACUUCCUGGAUGUCCAGGUUCCCUCCCUUCUGGUUAGAGUCUUUUUCUUCUGAGCUUCAGUCCACCCAUGUAGGAAGAAGAGCACCAUUACUAAUUAUAAAACCAUUAUAUGAUUAAACUUAAUUAACUUCAAAUAACCCUCGAAAUUUGCUUAAUGUCAGCCUUUGCCCUGCUUGAACUGCUAAAUAUUGCUGUCCUAUGGAAUUCUGAUGGGAUGAGAUGAUUAUGUUAUGAUACUUGGCACUCCAGGGGGGCAAUGGCAUGUCCUAACAUUCUGGACAGGAAGUGACUGCUUGGUCCAGGGAUCCUCUGUGCAGUGGGGGAAGCAUAGAAGAGAUAGUAGAGAUG